ACAGCAGCAGCCACGGUAAUACAGAGGGUGCGAGCGUUAAUCGGAUUUACUGGGCGUAAAGCGUGCGUAGGCGGCUUUUUAAGUCGGAUGUGAAAUCCCUGAGCUUAACUUAGGAAUUGCAUUCGAUACUGGGAAGCUAGAGUAUGGGAGAGGAUGGUAGAAUUCCAGGUGUAGCGGUGAAAUGCGUAGAGAUCUGGAGGAAUACCGAUGGCGAAGGCAGCCAUCUGGCCUAAUACUGACGCUGAGGUACGAAAGCAUGGGGAGCAAACAGGAUUAGAUACCCCGGUAGUCCCUGUCUCUUAUAC
rnacentral:rRNA from 1 species